UGAAAAUGGAAAUUUGAACAAAAAGAUGA
rnacentral:piRNA from 1 species